rnacentral:rRNA from 1 species
GGCCCUACGGGGCGCAGCAGGCGCGAAAACUUUACAAUGCUGGCAACAGCGAUAAGGGAACCUCGAGUGCCAGGUUACAAAUCUGGCUGUCGAGAUGCCUAAAAAGCAUUUCAUAGCAAGGGCCGGGCAAGACCGGUGCCAGCCGCCGCGGUAACACCGGCGGCUCGAGUGGUAACCGUUAUUAUUGGGUCUAAAGGGUCUGUAGCCGGCCGGAUAAGUCUCUUGAGAAAUCUGGCAGCUUAACUGUCAGGCUUUCAGGAGAUACUGUCUGGCUCGAGGCCGGGAGAGGUGAGAGGUACUUCAGGGGUAGGGGUGAAAUCUUGUAAUCCUUGAAGGACCACCAGUGGCGAAGGCGUCUCACCAGAACGGACCUGACGGCAAGGGACGAAAGCUAGGGGCACGAACCGGAUUAGAUACCCGGGUAGUCCUAGCCGUAAACGAUACUCGCUAGGUGUCGGCCACGGUGCGACCGUUGUCGGUGCCGUAGGGAAGCCGUGAAGCGAGCCACCUGGGAAGUACGGCCGCAAGGCUGAAACUUAAAGGAAUUGGCGGGGGAGCACCACAACGGGUGGAGCUUGCGGUUUAAUUGG